rnacentral:rRNA from 1 species
CCUACGGGAGGCAGCAGUAAGGAAUAUUGGGCAAUGGACGCAAGUCUGACCCAGCCAUGCCGCGUGCAGGAUGACUGCCCUAUGGGUUGUAAACUGCUUUUAUACGGGAAAAAAAUGUCCGACGUGUCGGAAGCUGAUGGUACCGUAUGAAUAAGCAUCGGCUAACUCCGUGCCAGCAGCCGCGGCAAUACGGAGGAUGCAAGCGUUAUCCGGAUUUAUUGGGUUUAAAGGGUGCGCAGGCGGAAUGAUAAGUCAGUGGUGAAAGCUUUCGGCUUAACCGGAAAAUUGCCAUUGAUACUAUUGUUCUUGAGUACAGUUGAGGUAGGCGGAAUGUGUCAUGUAGCGGUGAAAUGCUUAGAUAUGACACAGAACACCGAUAGCGAAGGCAGCUUACCAAAUUGAAACUGACGCUCAUGCACGAAAGCGUGGGGAUCAAACAGGAUUAGAUACCCUGGUAGUCCACGCUGUAAACGAUGAUCACUCGCUGUUGGCGAUACACAGUCAGCGGCUAAGCGAAAGCAUUAAGUGAUCCACCUGGGGAGUACGGCGGCAACGUUGAAACUCAAAUGAAUUGACGG